GUUGAGGUGGCAGAGCCCGGUAAUUGCAUAAAACUUAAAACUUUAUCACCAGAGGUUCAACUCCUCUCCUUAACA
rnacentral:tRNA from 2 species